GUGUGGGGCUGGAGGAACACAGCAGGACAGGCAGCAUCAGAGGAGCAGGAAAGCUGGCGUUUUCGGGCCCACACCCUUCAGAAAUGGGGGCGGGGAAGGGGAUACUGAAAUAAAUAGGGAGAGACGGGGAAGCAGGUGGAGAGGAGACAGACAAGUUAAAGAGGUGGGGAUGGAGCAGGUAAAGGUGAGUGUAGGCAGGGAGCGGAUAGGUCAGUCAAGGGAGGCUGAACAAGUCAAGGGAGUGGGAUGAGGUUAGCAGGUUGGAAAUGGGGGUGUGGCUUGAUAUGAGAGGAGGGGAUAGGUGAGAGGAAGAACGGGUUGGUGAGGUGGGGAAUGAGCUGGGCUGGUGUUGGACUGCGCUUGGGCCAGGGGAGGUUUUGAAGCUUGUGAAAUCCACAUUGAUAGCAUUGGGCCGCCAGGUUCCAAAGCAGAAUAUGAGUUGCUGAUCCUGCAACCGUUGCGUGGCAUCGUUAUUGUGUUGUAGGAGGCCCAUGAUGGACACGUUGCCGGUGGAAUGGUACUGCAAGAUACCAGCGAUCGUUGCCAAAGCCCUGUUACCUGUGGAGAAGGUCAUGUUUAACUUUCCUGUGCUGCUGCAGUUCGUAUGAUGAAGGUGCUCCCACAAUUGUGGUCAUUUGAGAAGUUACAGAUCAUUCAUCUGGCGAUACACCAUCAGCUCUUCAGAUAUUACAAGUGGACUUUCAGAUGGGAAACUCAAUUAUUGUAACAUAAAUCUCUGACAGAAUUACUCAAUUCAUCAACAUCUGGAUAUUUGCAUUGUGUAUUUCCACAAUUUUACUUCUGCACUGUUCUUAACCUUUUGAUCCCUCUGAAAGACUGAGUUACAAUGCCUGCCCUUCCUCGCUGGCUCUCCCACCUCUCUUUCAGCAGUUGUGUGCAAAUACUGACUGGAUCCCUUACCUGGAGGAUAUUUAUUUGAAUUUGUUCUAAUGAUGAUCCAGCAGAUUUCCCAAGCGUCGCUCCAUAAAUGUCCAGAGGAUUUCUCGAUUUCACAAUCUGUGGUUGUUCUUCUGGUUCCUCACUCACUGCACUUGCUUUCUGUUUGAAAGCUUAGUCUGCAAUUGGAGAAUUCAAACAGGUCCACAUCGAGCUCUGACAGUCACUUUGUUUAUCACAAACCAGUUACCUCAGGAUUUUGAACAUUGGAGGAAAAAGCAGCAUUCACACUGGGGAGAAAUGCACAUGGUCUGUAAAGAGUCUGUGAAGAUUCAUCUGAAAUGUCCGAACACCAGCGCAGUGACACUGGGGUGAGACUGGAAAU